GCCCAGGUGGCGAAAUUGGUAGACGCACCAUCUUGAGGGGGUGGCAUCCGAAUGGAUGUGUGAGUUCGAAUCUCAUCCUGGGUA
rnacentral:tRNA from 1 species